rfam:Schistosoma curassoni strain Dakar, Senegal genome assembly, scaffold: SCTD_scaffold0003946
UCAAUAACUCCGCCUGUAGCUCUUAUAGGGUUGCUGCCGGUCCCAAGCCCGGGUAAAGGAGGAGGGUUGG